rnacentral:tRNA from 1 species
GCCUGGGUGGCUCAGUCGGUUAAGUGUCUGACUUGGGCUCAGGGCAUGAUCUCGCAUUCAUAGGUUCGAGCCCCACCCCAAGCU